rnacentral:lncRNA from 1 species
UUCUCUCUUGCCCGGUUUAAAUAAUGGAUCGUUUGGCAUUAUAGUCCAGUUGGUUUCGUCGUGUGUUGGUGACUCAAAAAUACUGAAUUCUAAUGUCGUACAGCCCCACAAACGGGCACCGGUAAUAUAAUGUUACAUUUCCUCGAUUACUGAUAACUACCUUUCCAUCAUAUGGCAAACAAAGAAUCAUGAUUCAAACCAAAAUGUUUCAUCCAGAUCAGAAUGAAUGAAAUUGUUUACUGCAUUGUAAUCAUUGCUUCAGAUCCUCGGAAUAGAUAAGUCAUGUUAAUGGACAAUGAUCAAACAUACAUUUCCAUCAUACCAACAAUUUCGCAGCCCCUGUGAUAUCGGCUCGUUGUGUAUGCUUUAGGGUUACCUGGUACGAUCAAACCACCAACAUCGGAUUCAAUUAGGGGGAAACUUAUGCUUGUCUACGCCUUUUCGAGCCGUCCUCUGCAUAGUACUUCCAUUUAGAGUGAUCCAGGCUGCUUAUAUCAUCUAGCUCCGCUAUGGCAAGAAGGUACUCAGUUAGCUUCCUAAGCUCCUGAUCGCUAUCGCGGUUUGCAUGAGCCUUCCUGAAGGGCUUGAUUGUUAAACCGUUUUGAGGGUUCAUCACGAAGUUCCGUCUCAAAUCAUCGAACAUUAUGGUGUUCUUCGGACCGUAAAACUGCAACGCAGUAAAAUUGUGUUUGUUUAACAUGAAGAUCCUUAGAAAGAGAACUCCAGAAUGACAAAGAAAAUAAAUCAAAUUCAAGCAGUUCCAUAGUAACUAUAAGAGUUUCACCUCGGGGAAAUGAGCCCAUAUCAAUCCAAGGGGCUUGCAGUCGAAGAUCCCACGGGCAUCUGAUUGUACAGUGAUCAUACCUAAAUGGUCCAGGAGAGCGGUGAUUUUGUAGUUGGGAUUGCUUAGCACUCCAAGCUCUCCCAUCUUUAAUUCAACCCACUUCAUGCUGUACAAUCAUACACAAAACUCAAUAACUAGAGCUGUCAUCUAUAACGCGUUCACCCCACGAGCAUUAAUAUACAAGAAUGGCCAAGAAAAAUAGGGCAAGCACUUCAUUGAAGGAGGACAAUAUCAUUCAUACCUGGUUGCAGACCAUAUCAUUAUAUCAUAUUCUGCAUAAGCGGCUGGAAGGAAUUCAUGGAGAUCUGCAGAAGAAAAUGUUAGAAAGCAGAAACCGGAGAAAACAAUAACCAAAGACAGUAUACACACAUGGACGCAUUAGUUCCAGAGGGUUCUCUGCUGUUGACCGGUGAUCGAAAAGGGUGUAGUCAAUAUCCAGCACAAGCAACUUCUUUCCUUCACGGCAUGGAUUGCGAAGCUUGAUCUAUAAUACAACCACAUGAAAUCAGACAAUUUAAGAUAACUACUACAAUCUAAACCCAAGAAGACAGAAAACAGAUGGUGAUGGAAUGAAGAUAGAUUGUAUAUUCAUCUUUUCCUCAUCUGAGUUCAUUAUUAGCCCUUGUUUAGGUAAAAGUAAGUGUUUCACCGGGAGGAAGUGCUUGAAUAGGAAUCAUUUUGGCGCAAGAGAAAUACUUUUUCGUAGUUAGUAUUAUGAUUCAUUGUUUCUUAGUUGCAAUAGGAUUAAUUUCAGUUCUUGAAGCAUGAGAAUUUAUCAAAUUUCAAUAAGAAUUCUCAGAGUUACUGCAAGAGCUUUUCUUGUGUUUUCUUUGCCUUAUCCAAACCUCCAUUUUCCAUCUCUAUUCGAAAUUUCCAGCAACCCUUUUUCAUCUAACUGAAAUCAAUCCGAAACAGAAUACAACAAUUUGGGAGACUCUUCAGGCCAAAGUUACAUCACAUCAUAGCUAAAGUAUUCAUCUGACAAUUUUACCAGAAAAAUUGGAAACUUCCGUAAUUGACACAGUGUUCUUCGUCAAUACGAACAAGUGAACCUGAAGCCCAUCAAUUACCAAUUUACCAGAAAUGGAGCAUGAAGUUAAGAAAUGUACCUUGUAUUGAUCCACACGUCUCUUCAACUUCUGCUUAUUAACUUCCUUGUCCUUGAUAUCGAUGGCUUCAUCUUGUCCAAGCUGAAAAUCAUCGACGAUCUCCGGAUCAUCCACUUGGUCCACGAUUAUGUCAUCCUCUACAGUUCUGCAGAACACCAAAGUUGGACACUUGGAAAGCUACAAUGGAAUCCAAUUCGAAAAUUUAGAUGAUAAAGAGAGGAGAAUCGAACCCGAUCAUCGUCAUCUUGAGCGAGGACUUGAGCGGAAGCUGGGAGAGGAGAAGAGAGUCGUCGGCGAGCUUGUUGCCGACUUUAGGGUACAAGAGCUUCUGUCGUUUGGGGAGUACAUUAGUGGCUUCGCAAAUCCGUCGCUUCAAUUCAGCCACCGAAUCGUCUCCGCACACUCGGACGGUGUACUCCUUGCCGCUCCACUUCACUGACAGAGUCAGUUCCUCUACCAUCGCCGACGCCGAAGACGACUCCGCCGCCAUGCUGUUUCCACUCGAUUGUUUUUUUCUGAGUUCUCUUUUUCAAAAAUGUAUACCGUCAAUUGAGCAGGAGGUAAGUUCGUCAAGAUUUAGGGUGACUAAACAACAACCUUAAUUGACAGACAUACAAUGUUUAAUUAUAUUUUUUUUGUUUGAGCUGCUUCGAGUUCUUAGGUCAAUUUAUCGGUCUUAUGCGGUUUUAAAUUCUUCCAUACGAACUUGUUCCGAUCGACUGAUUAGUAUGGCCCUUGAAGCAUUCUCAUCCUUAAUUUUUAGUAAUUAUUAAAGUGAAGUAUAAAAUAAUAUGACAUUUACUUAACAAUUGUUAGAGAUGUCGAAAUACUUGUUAAUUAAUAACCUUGUUAAUUUAGCAAGUUAAUUAGCAAUGCUACCUAGGUAAAUUGUUACAUUUUUAAGAGUUGAAUUUAUGAAUAGAAAAUAAAUUAAAGAUAAAUAAUAUGUAAUUUACUUUCAUUGUGUUGUAAAAAUGAUGAAUAGAAAUUGUUAAUAAAUUAUUGGGAUGGAGGAGAUUAAAAAUUGCCGAAUGACUUAAUUGUUAAAAUUGUGGCGAUAAAAUUCCUUAAUUAUAAUAAUAUGAUGAUAAAGUUCCUAUUAAAAAAAUAUUAAAUGAAAAUGAUCUUACAAGUCACGUUGGCUCUUUAGAUAUUUGUUUGAUGCUUUUGGUGAUGUUUAACAUGUAGAUAGUUAAGAGACAGGUGUUUUUCAGGUUAUCAUAAGGGAGCAUUUGAUAUGUGAGAAGUGACGUAAUCAUCAAAUAAGUCUUUGACUUUCAUAACGAUUUGUAUUUAUUUGCAUUUUGAGGUGGUUGUGUUUAAUAUUCAUUGUUUGCUGCCAGGUUCGAACGCUGGACCAAAUGACAGAUAAUAGUUUAUUACCCUUUGUUAGUCCAACUGUCCAAGUUAGGAACAUGUAUGUUAAUGGAUUCAUCGAGUGAUGAAAUAUGUUCGUUCANNNNNNNNNNNNNNNNNNNNNNNNNNNNNNNNNNNNNNNNNNNNNNNNNNNNNNNNNNNNNNNNNNNNNNNNNNNNNNNNNNNNNNNNNNNNNNNNNNNNNAGUUGUACUUCCUUCAAAUGGAAAACACUAUAAUCUCAAAAAAACCGGCGAACAUAAUUUAGCCAUAAGUCUCAAAGACACGUAGACACAUAUUACUCGUUGUCUAAACAAUUUUUAAAUUAUGUUAACAAAUGAAUGAUAUAAAAAUUUAAUUAAAACCCUCUUUCAAUAACUCAAAUUAUUGAAUACUAUAAAACCUAAUUAUAAACAUUUCUAAACAACACGAAUUAUUAAAAUGCAACCGACAACGAUUCUUCGCACUCUCCAUACUUGCUUCUCUGCUUUCCUAACUAUUUGAUUGUAUUAUUACACAAGAUAAGUGACCUACAUAUAUCUCAGAUUACCAUGCUAUUGCUGUAUUAUAUUUCUCUUUACUAACAACUGAAUGAAUAUAUUUACAUGUCACGAACACAAAUGGAUCGAGUUCGAAUCCAGACCAAAAAUAGUUCAUCUCCCAACUUCAGUAGCUAGGCAUGAUUUUCCCAUACAUCAUCGAUUCCUUCCCCUUUCAUGCAUCCGAACUGUGAACUUACUCGCGACAGAACAUCAAUGGUGGAAAUUGACUUUCUGAUACUAUCUGAUGAUUUUAUUUGAUUGACUUACCUAAGCAUAUCAUUGCUGUACAGCUGCGGCCCACUGAGAGCCGGAGAGACGCUAAAAGCAUGGCUUGCAUCACCGCCACCGGAGAAAGAAGGAUGCGAAAGAGGCAGUGGCCGAUCCGGCAAUGGCGGAACUUCCACAUCACCUUCCAGCAUCUUCAACGCGUCCAAUAUAGUCGGCCUCAAAGCAACCAUAACAUGAGCACACAGAAUCCCCACCAGCACAAACCUCUCCAUCACCACCUUCUGAUUCGACGUCGAAUCCUCACCGCCCCUUAAUAACAAGGACCGAUCCAGCGCCUGAUCGAGUUUCCCGGCCUUGACUCGCGACCAAGCCCAGUCGGUGAUCAGAAACCCGUCCGAGGAAGACAUGUCGAGAGCCUUCCUACCGCACAUUAUCUCGAGCACAACGACUCCAAAGCUGUAGACGUCGCUCUUUUCUGUCAGCUGGCCGUAGAGUGCGUACUCGGGGGCUAAGUAGCCGUGAGUGCCCGCCACUCUGGUGGUGAGAUGAGACUGCCCUUCGAGGCUUUGCUUAGCUAGCCCGAAAUCGGCGACUCUAGCUCUCAUGUCAGAGUCGAGUAGUAUGUUUGUGCCCUUGAUGUCUCUGUGGAAAAUUGCUGGCUUCACUCCGUGAUGCAAGUAAGCUAGCCCUUUCGCCACGUCCAGUAUUAUGUUCUUCCUCUGUUGCCAACUCAAUGGCCCCACUUCUUCUUUUCCUAAAAAGUCAUCGGCAGAUUCAAAAAAGUUUGGUACAUUGGGUCAGAUUGUUAAUAAAAAUGAAAAAUACAUUAGGUCGUAUAUAGAAACUAUCCUAAUCAACAUUUAGGUCAAAUUUAGGGGUUAAUUUUUGACACCGGACCAAUCCUGUCACAUGCAUUUUCUACCCCACAAAGUGACAUUUCCAACUCCAUCGGAUUUGGGGCUCAAUUCUACCCGCCCAUUUCUAGCCAAAUUUCAUUUGGAGAGGUAUAUCAGAUUUGGCACCAAAUUCCAGAGGACUUUGAAUUCCAGCACGGAAUUUGCCGAAUUUGGGGGUUAAUUCUGAACAUCGGAGCAAUCCUGCCGGAUACAUUUUCCACUGCCACAAAAUGACAUCCUCAAUUCCCCGCCUAUUUCUAGCCGUUGAAUUCUGUUUGGAAAUGUACAAAAUUGCCAAAUCUGACAGGUGUCACGGAUUCCGGCCUUAAUUGGUCGUUGAGGGGCGGGAAACGUGACCUUAAAUAUAAAGAACACAUAUUAUUAGAUAGUUAUGAACCUCGAGAUGGGUUUGACCCUGGUCUGGGAGAGGCUGCCUCUAGAUUCGUCGCGACUACCGGGUACAAAUGGUCAUCAAGGUUGCCAUUCUCCAUGUAAUCAUACACAAGGUACCUCUGACUCUCGCCUGCAUCGACAUCGUCGUCCCCUCCGCGGCCAUCGAUCACGCAACAGCCUCGAAGCGGGACCAAAUUCCGGUGCUUCAAGUUACUGAUGAUCUCAAUCUCGUUCCGAAACUCAGCAUCACCCUGGAAAUCAGACUCGAGAACCCUCUUAACAGCCACACUCGUCCCGUCAUAGAGAACACCCUUGUACACAAUUCCAAACCCACCUCUCCCAAUGAAGUUGCUGUCCGAAAAGCCAUUGGUUGCCUUCUCGAGCUCAUCGAUCUUGAACCAAAUCGAACCGGUAUUCGGCCUCAAUCGUGGCCUGGAUAAUGCUUGUUCUUCUUUCCUAAUUAGCCUCCUCUUCCUUCUCUUAUCGUACCAAAACCAGAAACCUCCUGCCAUAGACACAGCGAUCAAACCAGCAACA